UGGGGAAUAUUGGACAAUGGGCGAAAGCCUGAUCCAGCCAUGCCGCGUGUGUGACGAAGGCCUUAGGGUUGUAAAACUCUUUCGUCGGGGACGAUAAUGACGGUACCCGAAGAAGAAGCUCCGGCUAACUUCGUGCCAGCAGCCGCGGUAAUACGAAGGGAGCUAGCGUUGUUCGGAAUCACUGGGCGUAAAGGGUGCGUAGGCGGCUUCUUAAGUCUGGUGUGAAAGCCCAGGGCUCAGCUCUGGAAGUGCACUAGAUACUGGGAAGCUUGAGUAUCGGAGGGGAGAGUGGAAUUCCUGGUGUAGCGGUGAAAUGCGUGGAUAUCAGGAGGAAUACCGGUGGUGAAAGCGACUCUCUGGACGAUUACUGACGCUGAGGCACGAAAGCGUGGGGAGCAAACAGGAUUAGAUACCCACGUAGUCCCUGAGCGGGCUGGCAAGGCGCAU
rnacentral:rRNA from 1 species